rnacentral:rRNA from 1 species
UCCUACGGGGGGCAGCAGUAGGGAAUUUUCGUCAAUGGGCGCAAGCCUGAACGAGCAAUGCCGCGUGAACGAGGAAGGUCUUCGGAUCGUAAAGUUCUGUUGAAGGGGAAAAAGAGCGGAGAGAGGAAAUGGUCUCCGAUUGAUAUUACCCUUCGAGGAAGUCACGGCUAACUACGUGCCAGCAGCCGCGGUAAUACGUAGGUGGCGAGCGUUAUCCGGAAUGAUUGGGCGUAAAGGGUGCGUAGGCGGCCUGCUAAGUCUGGAGUGAAAGGUACAGGCUCAACCGGUACAGGCUCUGGAAACUG